UUUCCUGGCCUGCUCCAGCGUGGACGUGUGUGUGCUUUCCUCUCGCCUCCCGGAACUUCUUGGGAGGAGGAGAGGCAUCGCAGCUGUGCAGUGUGGGAAAAACAUGAACUCCAGAAGAGCUUGCAUUGGGAGUUGUAUGGUGUGGGGGCACAAACUCAAUGGGGAAAUCGCUGCUUCUGAAUCCCAUUAAAACCCGACUCCAGCUCCAAUCUGGUCUGUGAUUUUUAGCUACUGUAUAAACAGCAUCAUGAUCUCUGUCUUUGUCUCUCACCCUUGU